rnacentral:rRNA from 1 species
GAUGAACGCUAGCGGCAGGCCUAACACAUGCAAGUCGAGGGGCAGCACAUAAAGUGGUUUACUACUUUUGGUGGCGACCGGCGGACGGGUGCGUAACGCGUAUGCAACCUGCCGCCAACAGGGGGCUAACGGAGAGAAAUUUCCAAUAAUACCCCAGAAUAUCAGACUCGGCAUCGGGUUUGGUUGAAAACUCCGGUGGUUGGAGAUGGGCAUGCGUUGUAUUAGAUAGUUGGUGAGGUAACGGCUCACCAAGUCAACGAUAAAUAGGGGGACUGAGAGGUUAGCCCCCCACACUGGUACUGAGACACGGACCAGACUCCUACGGGAGGCAGCAGUGAGGAAUAUUGGGCAAUGGGGGCAAACCUGAACCAGCCAUGCCGCGUGCAGGAAGACGGCUCUAUGAGUUGUAAACUGCUUUUACAAGGGGAUAAAUCGGUGUACGUGUACACCGUUGAAGGUACCUUGGGAAUAAGGAUCGGCUAACUCCGUGCCAGCCGCCGCAGUAA